rnacentral:lncRNA from 1 species
AGAUAGUAGCAGUACAGGUGGACUGAUAAAGGUUGCUUGAUAAUUUUUUCAGCAUAUAAAAAUAGUUUGUUAGCAGAACUUUAUUGAUGAACCUAUUUUAAAAUGUUGAGCAAUGAAUUCAAGGGAAACAAGUAGAGUUGUAUUUAGGUUAUUGCAGAGAAGUACUUCUGUUUUUUCUAACUACUCAAGAAAACCAUCUUUAAUAUAUGAUCAAUAUAUUUCUAAUUUCGAUAGGUUUUAUAUAACAACAUAGAUUAAAUUUUAAGAAUUUAUAUAAGCCCUCUAAGACCUUCCAAAAUCUUCCAUUCCCUUUUUUCAAAGGCCUCUUCUUUCCUCCUAAACUCUUGAACAGAACCUUAAAGACAUUCUUACUUUUACUGCUUCAAUUAAUGUUUGGCUCAACUGAGGAACCAAAGUUCAUGGUUUAGUCCUUGUCAUUUACCCUAUUGAUAUAUCAGCCAUAUUUUACGCUUAGAUCAACAAUUGGUUUUCAAAGUCUAUAUAUGAAUUAACACUAGAGACGUAGUUAAUUAAAUCCUAAAUCAGAAGCUAAACUUAUCAAAUAAUAAUAGACUUCAAGUUUACCACUUAUUGACCCAAUAAUGAAAAGUCUUACAUUGUCAGUUUUCUGUGACCCAAACAUGAAUUUCAAGUCAAUAUAGAUACCAAAACUGUUAAGAGUCCCACAUCGGACAAUAUAUGGCCUGAACAUGAGUUUAUAAAUGGGGGUAAUCCUCACUCUACCAACCGGUUUUGUAGGGUUGAGUUAGGCCCAACCAUAUUUCUUAACAUGAUAUCAGAGCCUCGUUUAAGAUCCGGUCGGCCACCUAUAAUGUUCAGUCCUGGGCGUGAGGGGGUGUGUUAAGAGUCUCACAUCGGACAAUAUAUGGCCUGAACAUGAGUUUAUAAAUGGGGGCAAUCCUCACUCUACCAAUCGGUUUUGUAGGGUUGAGUUAGGCCCAACCAUAUUUGUGAUUCUUACAUGUUACAUCUACAUGCUUUAAAUAAGUAUGGUUGAGUUAGGCCCAACCAUAUUUCUUAACAUGAUGUUGUAAAAUAUUUUACUUAUAUAUUAAAAAGUGAUUCUUACAUGUUACAUCUACAUGCUUUAAAUAAGAGAGAAUAGAAAACCUAAUGGGCCUCAUUACUAAUAGAAAUAAUUACUAUUUACAAUCUAAUAUUUACAACACUCCCCCUCAAGCUGGUGAAUGGAUAUCUAUCAUUCCCAGCUUGCAAGUAAGUUGCAUGAAUCUUUCUGUUGGUAAGCCUUUUGUUAACACAUCUGCCAGCUGAUGCCCGGAAGGAACGUAAGAUGUAGUUAUCAGUCCACUAUCCAACUUCUCUUUGAUAAAAUGUCGGUCAAUCUUCAAUGUGUUUAGUCCUGUCAUGCUGAACGAGGAUUAUGAGCAAUACUAAUAGUCGAUUUAUUGUCACAAAACAAUGUCAUAGGAUCUUCACAUUGUAUCUUCAAGUCUUCGUAGAAUUUUUUUCAUCCACAAUAGCUCACAAAUUCUAGUGCCAUAGCUCUAAAUCGGCCUCGGCGCUUGAUCGAGCAACACACUUUGCUUCUUACUCUUCCAAGCUACAAGGUUACCACACAGAAAAGUACAAUAGCCUGACGUAGAUCUUCUGUCACUCACUGAUCCGGCAUAAUCCGCAUCAGUGUAAGUCUCCAUAGUUAGAUUUCCACCUCUUUUAAACAAAAGUCCUCUCCCUGGAGUUGCUUUAAGAUAUUGUAGAACGCGGCUUACAGCCUGCAAAUGUCUCACCCUCGGAUCAUGCAUGAAUUGGCUCACCACACUGACUGCAUAUGCCAAUCUGGUCUAGUGUGUGCCAAGUAAAUCAAUUUUCCCACUAAUCUCUGAUAUUGACCCUUUGUCAACUUUGUCACUUUCCUCCUCAAAGCUUAUCCUGUGAUUUUGUUCAAUUGGAACACUUGCAGGUUUGCAUCCAAGUUUGCCAGUUUUCCUGCAAAAGAUCAAGCACUACUUCCUUUGAGAAAUAAAGAUCCUUGCUUUGAGUAGGCUACCUCAAUUCCUAAGAAAUACUUGAGUUGUCCAAGGUCUUUCAUCUCAAACUCUGCUGAUAAUUUCUCUUUGAGGAAAUGUCUCUCAAUCAAAUCAUCUCUGUAACAAUAAUAUCAUCAACAUAAACAAGAAGUACAGUCAGUUUUCCUCCUUGUGAAUGUUUAAAAAUAAAGUGUGGUCUCCUUGACUUUGCUUAUAGCCCAACACAUCAUUGUCUUUGUGAAUCUUCCAAACCAUGCCCGAGGGACUGCUUAGUCCAUAUAAGGCUUUCUUCAAUUUACACACCUUGUUAGCUCCAUUUGUUAUGCCAACACCUGGUGGAAUCUCCAUAUACACUUCUUCCUCUAAGUCUCCAUGCAAGAACGCAUUUUAACAUCAAACUGUUGCAAUUCCCAUCCACAUGAAGCAGCAAGAGAUAGUAAAAUCAACAGUAUCAUCUUGCCACUGGGGCAAAUGUUCUCCUCAUAAUCAAUACCAUACGUCUGAGUAUAACCUUUGCCACUAGUCUUGCUUUGUACCGAUCAAGUGUACCAUCAGAUUUGUACUUUACAGUAUAAGAUCCAUCUGCAUCCAACUGGACUUUUGUCUCUUUUCCUUAAUAUCUCCCAAGUACCAUUUUUUUCAAGUGCUCUCAUUUCCUCAUCCAUAGCUUGGACCCAAUUCUAUUUUGCAAUGCUUCUUCAACAGAUGAUGGGAUUUUGACAGAAAUCAACAGCUGCAAUAAACUUUGAUAUUGUGUGGAAAGAUGUUUAUGGAGACAUAUUGAGAGAUAGGGUGUCGAUAUAGGGAGGACAAGAUCUUUUAUCCUUCCUCAAAGCAAUGGGUAAAUCACUGGAUUAGUGUCACAAGUAUCAGAAAUCACAAUCAUCACUAGAGGAAUCAUUUUCAGACUUACCUCCGGUUCAGGCGAUUGAAUUUGUUUCUGGAGAAGGUCAGGUUUAUUCUUCUCUGAUACACUAGAGUUUGGUGUUGGAGGUGCUGAUUCCUGUAAAACAGAAGCUUGAAGGACCAGGACACUUACUGGCUCAGAUUCAGGUGUUGAACUAAGACUCAAACUCAAACUAGGUGACAACUCGGGUCAAGAGAGGGAAACACUGAUAGGUGUUCUAGGAGGCUAAGACCAAGGAUCAGAAACUCGGACUCAGACUCUGACUCUGACUCUAAGUCACUUAUGAUCUCCCCCUGAGACUGAAGAACGAGUGAAAUAUGACACACUUUCAAUGAAAGGUGACAUCUUUGGAGAACAAAAGAAUUUUCGACUCGGAGCGAUGAUACAUUUGUUACCUCUCUUUGUUGGGUGCAUAACCCAGAAAGAUACCAUCUGACAGCACGGGGAUCCAAUUUGUCUUGCGAUAAUUUGUUUUGUGAACAUGACAAAAGCAAACAACCAAAAAUGCGAGACCUCAAGAAGUUGUAAGAUAGGAACAGAUGGAAAAAGUGAAGCAUAAUUGGCAGGACUUUUAUUACCUAACACUGGAGAUUGGGACCCGGUUAAUCAGAUAGGCAGCAGUAAGAAUUGCCUCACCCCAAUAAAGCAGGUAGGAACAGACAUUGAAAAGGAGAGAUCUAGCAACUUCAAGUAAAUGACGAUUUUUCUUUCUGCGACACCGUUUUGUUGUGGGUGUCAAACACAUGUGAAUUCAUGGAGAAUGCCAUGUUACUAGUGAAGUUGGAAAAAGGUAUAUUGACAUAUUCUUUACCAUUGUCAGAACGAAUUCUUUCUAUGCCUUUCCCAAAUUGCGUUUGUACCAUAUUAUAAAAUUGGAUAAAUAUUUGUGGUACUUCGGAUUUAGUAUUCAUCAAGAAAAUCCAAGUUUACCCGAGUACAAUCAUCAAAUAAAUGAGACAAACCAUUUUUUCCACCAAAAAAUAUUAGAGGUAGGGUAGGUCCCCAAAACAUCAGAAUGAAUCAAAUCAAAGGUUAUCACUUUUAUUAAAACUGGAAGAAAAGAUACACGAUUUGGUUUUGUGCCAACUGACAAACAUCACACUUAAAGACUCAACAGAUGGUGUAAGAACAACGACGCGAACAUAGACUUAAUUAUAUAAAACUGGAGGAUGACCGAGACGCUGUGCCUGAGUCAAAAUUUGUGAGGCUGAAGAGGAAGACUGAGACUGGAAACAGGAGGACAACACCUUUGGAUGGUCAUCAGAGAAGUAGUAUAACCCUUCCUUUUCCUUAGCAAUUCCAAUCGUCUGCCCCAUGGUAAGGUCCUGAAAAACACAAUGGGACAUAGAAAUAAUUACUAUUUACAAUCUAAUAUUUACAACAAAAACAAAGAAAAAAAAUUACUUUUUUGCAUCCCCAUCACUAAUUGAUACAUAAUGCCCAUCAAAUUGGUGAUUCCAAUGGUAUUUGAAUUAAUUUAGAUUGAGGAAAAACUAUGAAUAAUUCACAGUCUUGCUCGAUCAUCGGCUGAAACGAAGUUGUUGUGAUCAGACAACUUCUUGGGACCUUUGAAGUUAUAUUCUGAAGCCAACUAACAGACAAAAGAAACAUUUAACUCUCCGGCAACUUAUGUUCAGUUGAUUGCUCUAUCUAGAUGAAGGAGUUGUUCGCUUACUUGGCAGAGGAUCAUCAUUUAGUGCAAAUAAAGCAAGGAAGUGGAAGUACCAAAAGGUUAUCUUAUGGCGUAUGUUGGAGCGUAAAUGAAGAAGUACUUGAUUCCUGUAUCACUCUUGAACGAGCCUUUGUUUCAAGAAUUUCUAUGCCUAGUUGAAGAGGAACUCGGUUACUGUCAUUCAAUAGGUGGUCUUACAACUCCCCGAACCGAAGAUCUGUUCUUACAGCUUCUCACUUGUAAGGCCUAUCAUUAAUUCAUACUACAAAAAAGUCAUAUGAAUGAUAACAUAGCCCAAUAGGAUUGACUAGUUAAGUAAACAUUUUUACAUCAGGAAUUUCUGUUAUUUUUUAUGUUUCCGGCUAAGUGGAAAUCUUACCAAACUAUAGUCUUGUGAAUUUAUCUGUUGUUCUUGUAUCAUCUUAAAUACUUGCUUUGCAGGCACAAACACGAGCCAUGCACCCUUUACCUUGGAUAUAUUGAGACGAAAACUCAAUAGCUAGAGACUCGUCCACAUUAGGCCAUGAUCUCUUGCCUACUUAUGUCUGUUUAUGAAUCUUAAAUGAAGAGCUUUGACUAGUAUGACACUUAAAAGCAUCAACAGUAUGAUAGUUUGAAAAUCCACGCAAAGACCUCUUCUGAUUAGAUUUUCAUGAGUAACUAUUUUGUUGUAAACAAUCCUCCAGAAUUGAGUAGACUUUGAAGGAGGAAUGUAAUCAUGUCAAAUUUUGAAUAACUCUCAUACUAGACAUGGUUCCCUAGUAAAAAC